rnacentral:tRNA from 1 species
GGAGAGAUGUCUGAGUGGUUUAAGGUACCGGUCUCGAAAACCGGCGUACGGCAACGUACCGAGGGUUCGAAUCCCUCUCUCUCCG